rnacentral:rRNA from 1 species
AUUGAACGCUGGCGGCAGGCUUAACACAUGCAAGUCGAGCGGAGCGAGGGUGCUUGCACCUUAGCUUAGCGGCGGACGGGUGAGUAAUGCUUAGGAAUCUGCCUAUUAGUGGGGGACAACAUUCCGAAAGGAAUGCUAAUACCGCAUACGCCCUACGGGGGAAAGCAGGGGAUCUUCGGACCUUGCGCUAAUAGAUGAGCCUAAGUCGGAUUAGCUAGUUGGUGGGGUAAAGGCCUACCAAGGCGACGAUCUGUAGCGGGUCUGAGAGGAUGGUCCGCCACACUGGGACUGAGACACGGCCCAGACUCCUACGGGAGGCAGCAGUGGGGAAUAUUGGACGAUGGGCGGAAGCCUGAUCCAGCCAUGCCGCGUGUGUGAAGAAGGCCUUUUGGUUGUAAAGCACUUUAAGCGAGGAGGAGGCUACUUAGAUUAAUACUCUGGGAUAGUGGACGUUACUCGCAGAAUAAGCACCGGCUAACUCUGUGCCAGCCGCCGCAGUAACAC